UUUUUGGUGUAUUUUAUGCGGUUAUAUUUUUGUAAACCACCCAGAGAGCUUUUUAAUGAUGGAUGGUCUAGAAAUAAUAGAAUUAAUGUUGAGGCCUGCUUCUUAAUCUGAAAAACAAAUGAGAAGGUUUUCAAAUACACACACACACACACACAGAGAGAGAGAGAGAGAGAGAGAGAGAGAGAGAGAAUCCUGAAAUAGGUGACCUGGGGGGAAUGGCAGACCAAUGUCUUCUCCACAAAAUUAUUUGACUGGCUUUUAAAAACAAAAUUGUUGACGUGAAGUCCCUGAUGUGAAUCAGGACCCUGGGUCCCAGGGGGUGCACCUACAAUUUAUUAUAAAAAUAUCAGUUAAAUGAUUGGCAUCACGUAUACAGUGGUACCUCGGGUUAAGUACUUAAUUUGAUCAGGAGGUCCGUACUUAACCUGAAACUGUUCUUAACCUGAAGCACUAUUUCUGGGUUAGCGGAGUCUGUAGCCUGAAGUGUAUGUAACCUGAAGCGUAUGUAAUCUGAGGUACCGCUGUAAUUUGACCCUAAAACUGUGUGUUUCAACUUUUGACUGUAAACGAUUAACCUCUUUCCUUACGGGUUGCGCCCCUUCCAAAAUAUAAAGGGUAGUAGCUAAAAAUGAUGUUUAAUGCAUAUAUAAGGAACAUCUAUCAUUGCUGUUUAUAGUUGUGUGUCUAUUCACUUACAGCCCAAUUAACAAAUGGUCCAAGAACAAACAACUGUUACUGCUAUUGAUUUGAAUGGAGCCCUGCCCCAAAUUCAUUGAAGUUAUGAAUGGAAUAGUUUUCAAGAACGUUAAGCCCUCGGGACAUCUCACAAACAAGAACUGGACUGGUUUUUUCUGCAUUUCCUACGACUGUAAAGUGAAUAAUCAGACAUCUCCCUGGGAUACACAGAUGGAGAAAUUGCAUGUGUGAAAAGGAUAUG
rnacentral:lncRNA from 1 species